rnacentral:lncRNA from 1 species
UGUCUUCGAAACCCGUUUUGUAUAAAUAUCAUACAUAAGUUAUAUACUCCCCCGUCUCUCUCACUAUUUUGCGUUAUGUGUGACGCCCCCAGAUCCACAUUCCGUAGGUCUGGUCCGCCACUAAACAUCUGGCUCAAAACAACACUUGAAUUACAUAAUCCAACUCCUGCCCCACAAGUCCAGGGUCAAUCGUCUUACAACAUUACUACCGAGUCUAACUUUAUUACAUAAAAGGAAGUCUGAUUUCAAACCAUUAUAAUAACUAUAGCUCGUAGUACCAAGAGGCGUAGUCUAGCAGUCUCAGCUCGGGUGAUGUGCCUUUUCCCUGCCUUUGCCAAAAACCCAUUUCCGGGCGGUUCUCUUGAGUUGUGCCAUACUCACUAUUUACUGUUCAAAAAGGAAUAAAAUAGAUGCAAGAAUGAGCAAUCAAAUUGCUCAGCAAGUCCACAUAGAACAAAAUAACUAUCAACAGAAUAUGCACAUAAAGCAUAGAAAGCAAUUCAAGUCAAAGCAACAAAGCAGCUACCGUCAAAUGACAACACAAGUUCAAGUAAAGAAAACGCUGGUCUUCCACCUCUCGGUAACACUACAUGGCUCGAUCAGCACCAUUUCGUGAAUACCGUUCUCCUGUGUGAUCUUUGCAGUCUGAUCGUAACCGCACAAGACACACCUACCACUCUCAUUUGCUAGCAUAAGGGUUAACAUUUGUAACCCCAAACUAUCUGCCUUACCAGAUAGUAAAUUCUCAACUCUACCACGAAUUUAAUAAAUUCGUGUUGACCAGCUUGAAUAGAUUCCUCCGAAUACAAGGAAAUUCUCCCAAACAAACACCAAUCAUCACUACUCAUCUCUACCAAAGGAGUGCGAACAAUGCACCCUUUCAACAAAGAUUACCCGAAUGUGGAAGUGAAGGAUAAUUAAAAGAACUAGAUUCCAAAGAAUAAGAUGAUCUCCAAAAAGGGAGUAAGUUAAUUGUGGUGAGAUCAUCGCUGCAAUGUAUUCAUAUCAAGUUUCGAAGAUUCAAAAUAUUAUCGUUAUUAGGACCAGCUCAUUCCCGAACAAUGAGAGGGCUCGGAUUAUAGAAAGUAAUAUAUGAACAAUAUCUUUAAAGCCUUCAAAAUGAAACGGAGAUACUUUCUCGAUUCACAUUGGUACGAAAUGUAAUAUUUUCACAAUCAACACUUUUCACACAAUUAUUAAAUAGGCAUGAGAAAUUUCACAUCAAGAGAGGGAUAGUGAACUUGCCUGACGUCCUUAGCUUAAAAAAUUAUUUUCCGAAAUUUAAUACUUCAAAGUGGCUCCUCCCAAAUAUUAUAUAACUAUUUGAUGCGACACAAAAUAGUGAUUUAGAAAUCUCACCAAAUGAGAUAAUGGUUUACAAAAUUAAAUACAAUCUCUUAAAAUAUUACGAGUAUUUUUAAUCAAUAAUCAAUUUUCCUUUAUUAAUCUCUUGACGAAAAAUUAUAGCUUCUUACUUGUAUAAAUUUUGACUAAUAUAUUGAAGUCUGAAUAAUAAUCACUUCUCUUUUAUUAAUCAAAUAGUCAUUUAUCCGCUUGACUAUUAAUAAUGCCCUUUUACCCUUUUUAGAUAACUAAUUAUCACCAAUUUAUCAAAUAAUAAACUCAGAUUACUAAAUUGUUUCUAUAUACUAAUUUUCAUUUUAAACGUCUCACCCAAAUUACUAUUUGAUUAUUAAAUCAAAUUCUUAAAUCCCCAAAAUUUACCAACUCAACAAUUAUUAUUAAACUCUUUUCAAGAUUUAUUUCCACUUCCCUAUUAUAUAUUUAUAUUUAUACCUCAAACUAAAAGUUUAAUUAAUAUUCGUACGCUACCUUUUCAAUUGAAAAUCUUAACACCUAAUCCAAUAAUUUUUUUAUUACCCAAAAACCAGCUUAUUAUACCUUUAGUAUUUAAAAACCUCAAUCUCUUUCCUUUUAUUAUUUAUUAAAACUUUCAAUUAUCAAAUUACUAAACUACCCACUCCACCAUCUCUCCCAUCUUCUUCUCUCCACCAUUUCUUCCCCCUCCGGCCGGAGUAUGGCUCCGGCGACCUGCUGUGCCAACUCUCUCUUGCUCAUCUGUUUACUCUCUCUCUCUCUCUCUAUCUGUUUCUUCCUUCUGACUUCAGCCACUUCUCCCCUCCACCAUUCUGAUCAACCACCGCGAGUCACCGUCGGCGAGCUCCGCUCGGCGGUGCUCCGGCCACCACCACCGAAACCAUCAACCAAAAUAAAAAUUCAUUCCAACUCAAUUACACAAUCCUCAAAAGAAAUUAAAAAUAACCCCAAAACCCUUUAUAAUUUUUAACCCUAAUUUACAGGUGUUGAGGAAAAGACACAAGCUUCUGCUUAGCGAAAAAGUUUAUGUGCUGAUUGAUUUUGUUAUCAACUUAUCAUUACAAUUGUAUAUUAAUGCAAUAGAGAGUAAGCAUGGGGUCCUGUAUUCAGUGGAAUUCUUGCCAUUAAAAGUACUACACUUAUUAUGCUACUUUAUUAUAUUCAGUGGCGGAAUUAGAAAUUCAUGUAAGGAGGGGCGUCAUGUAAAUACUUCCUUUAUACCGACACGUUAUUUACUUUAUUUUUAGGAACACAUUUUAAGUCUCUUAUAAUGUUUUUUUUGAAACCAAGUCUCUUAUAAUAUUAGUUUUAUAACAUUUUAUUUUUAAAAAAAAAUUCUAAAUAAAAGUUUGAUGUUUAAAAUUUUAUUAAAAAAAAUAAAUAAAUUAGAAUACCGUUAUGAAACUAUAUUUUAUAGGAAGCUCAAAAUACGUGCAAAUAGUGAACGUAAACUAUGUGGUGGGACGGAGAAAACAUAAUAUUAUAGUGGUCUAACUUUCAUUACAUGAAAAUUUAUACUACUAAUUAAUUGACUUCUUUAUAUUUCAGUGUAUUAUUCAUUUUUCAUUGAAGUAGAGGGUCUGGAUCAGUUUUAUUUUUUAAAGCAGGGGCAGCAAACAACAUUAAUCCACAAGAUUAGAACUAUAUAUUUGAGUUAAGCGGCGGCAGCGGAACCCCCAGCCACCAUGCUCCUUCCGCCCCUGAUUAUAUUCCAUUUAAGUAGAAGAUGAAAUGGGAUAGUUACCUUAUUUGUUCUGAAUUUCCUAUCUUCCAAGCUGUACAAAUCUUUUUCCUCCUGAUUUACUCCCCGCGAGCUCACUUUUCUUUUUGAGCAAUGCUAGGGACCCCAAAAUUUGUCCCCAAAUUAUUUUCCCAAAUGACGUGGCAAACAUAUGGCGGAAUUUGGUUGGGUGGUUUAUGUGCAUACAGGGGGUCCCAUUAUUUAUUAGUAUGAGUAU